UACGGAGGGGGUUAGCGUUGUUCGGAAUUACUGGGCGUAAAGCGUGCGCAGGCGGUUUUGUAAGUCUGACGUGAAAUCCCCGGGCUCAACCUGGGAAUUGCGUUGGAGACUGCAAGGCUAGAAUCUGGCAGAGGGGGGUAGAAUUCCACGUGUAGCAGUGAAAUGCGUAGAGAUGUGGAGGAACACCGAUGGCGAAGGCAGCCCCCUGGGUCAAGAUUGACGCUCAUGCACGAAAGCGUGGGGAGCAAACAGG
rnacentral:rRNA from 1 species